CUUUUUCCGCUUUUUUACUUUACGCCGUCCAUCUCAACGUUCUACAAAAUGACCACUCCCGCACGGCUCUUCCCCUUGCUUCCGCCCCUCACUCAGCUCGCCGUUCACACUCAAACCAGACGCCGGCCGGCAAUCGCCUCUCCGACGGCUCCAGAUCACUCCACAGUCUCACUCUUCAGUGCGGUGAUUCGCUUUUUCGGACUUCGAAUUUCACCUAGGCUAUUGAAACUUCAAGCUCCAUGGAGCUGAGAAGGUUCGGAUUCGAACAAUGCAGUUCGUGCAUUCUGUUUCUGGUUUCAGGUUUGUUGUUGCUGCCUGUUAUGGUGAGUUCUGUUGGAGUGAACUAUGGUCAGAUAGCGAACAAUCUUCCUACUCCGGAGAAUGUAAUCCCGCUGGUGAAAUCAAUUGGAGCUACGAAGGUGAAGCUGUACGAUGCGAGUCCGAAGGUUCUUCGCGCAUUUGCUAAUACGAGCGUGGAGUUUAUAGUCGGACUUGGAAACGAGUAUUUGGCCAAAAUGAAGAAUACGGCGUGUGCUCAAGAGUGGGUGAAGAAUAAUGUUCAAGCGUACUUGCCUGGCACUAAAAUCACUUCAAUCUUCGUCGGAAAUGAGGUAUUAACCUUCAAUGACACUUCUCUUAAUGAUAAUUUACUACCGGCGAUGCAGAGCGUGCACACGGCGCUCGUAAAUCUAGGGCUAGAUAAGCAGGUGGCUGUGACGACAGCGCAUUCUUUGGCAAUACUUGAAACUUCAUAUCCGCCUUCCGCCGGAAUCUUCCGGAAUGAUUUAGUUGAUUGUUUGGUACCAAUCUUGGAUUUCCAAGUCAAGAUCGGCUCCCCGUUCUUGAUCAAUGCGUACCCUUACUUCGCGUACAAGGCGAAUCCGAAGCAGGUUUCGCUUGAUUUCGUCCUCUUCCAACCGAACCAAGGGGUUUUAGAUCCCGGUUCGAAUCUUCGCUACGACAACAUGUUGUUCGCACAGAUCGACGCGGUUUACUCUGCUCUCGACGCUGUUGGUUACAAGAAACUUCCUGUUCACAUCUCGGAGACCGGAUGGCCGUCGAAGGGAGAUGACGACGAGGCCGGUGCGACCCCGGAGAAUGCAAAGAAGUACAAUGGGAACCUUCUCAAGUACAUCUGCCAGAAGAAGGGAACGCCAUUGAGGCCGAGCUCGGACCUCAACAUUUAUGUUUUUGCUUUAUUCAAUGAGAAUAUGAAGCCUGGACCAACUUCGGAGAGGAAUUAUGGGCUCUUUAAGCCUGACGGUACGCCGGUGUAUCAGCUCGGAUUUUCCCAUACCGACGACGUUGGAAACGGGACUCAUGGCAGUUCCAGCGCGCAGCCUUCGCCGUCGGGAUCUCCCACUACCUCCUCAACUGGUUAUUUGGCCAUUUCCUCCGCCACGGAGAGAAGCCAUUGGCUUGGUUCCUUCUCAGCGAGCCUGUUUCUGAUGCUGUUCAAGUUGCUGCUACUUUGAAUUUAGGAGAUGAUUUGUUUUUCAGUAUAUUUUUCCGAAAGAUGCUUUGGAUUUUAUUUCAUUUAUCAGAAUCAGCCUUUAAAAGCAAAUUGGAAGAUGCCAAAGAGAAUAAGAGGCAGCGUCGGACUUGGGAAAAGGGAUUAUUAGGAUCUUAUUUUACAAUGUAAAAGCAACAAUAUCAUUGAAAGUUUCUUGAAUUUACCAAUAGUCACUUAAUGGAGUGGGGGUUGAAGAACUGACAGGGCCAUGUGACAAAAGAAAAAGCUCAGCUUGGAAUUUUUAUCAUUUCCUUUUUUGUAUGCAUUCCAUUUCAUAUUCUGAGCUGGAUCUGAUCUGUUAAUCUCUUCUUCUUUUUUCAUCCUGCUUUUUACAGGGAGAUUACAGUGCUUUAGUAAUUAAUAGUUUUGUAUGUGAAUUGAGUUCGUGGAUGGACAUAAUAUCUGGUGGAUGGAUGAUCCAAACUUGUUCUUUGUAAUCCCAUUUGCUAAUGAAAUUUUAUUAAUUUGCAAUUUUA